rnacentral:lncRNA from 1 species
UACAGCGUGCUUAAUGAUUAGUAAAGCAGAUUAUAUUAUCCAACAUUCCAAUAAGAUAAAAUAAUCACAGUGAUUUCUCUUUUUUGGAAAAAGUUUCUCUUCUCACGGGCCUGCUGUCUUUGCUCAUUCCUGGGCAUAGGCCAAAUCAGCCAUGGGAGAAAUUUAGUUCAUAGUCUAACGUUGCCAUUUCCAGUCCUCGGGGGUCCCCUCUUUCCACUCCACGCUUAGUUAU